rnacentral:rRNA from 1 species
AGAUUAAGUUAUUAAGGGCGCACGGUGGAUGCCUUGGCACUAGAAGCCGAUGAAGGACGUUACUAACGACGAUAUGCUUUGGGGAGCUGUAAGUAAGCUUUGAUCCAGAGAUUUCCGAAUGGGGAAACCCAGCAUGAGUUAUGUCAUGUUAUCGAUAUGUGAAUACAUAGCAUAUCAGAAGGCACACCCGGAGAACUGAAACAUCUUAGUACCCGGAGGAAGAGAAAGAAAAUUCGAUUCCCUUAGUAGCGGCGAGCGAAACGGGAAGAGCCCAAACCAACAAGCUUGCUUGUUGGGGUUGUAGGACACUCUAUACGGAGUUACAAAGGACGACAUUAGACGAAUCAUCUGGAAAGAUGAAUCAAAGAAGGUAAUAAUCCUGUAGUCGAAAAUGUUGUCUCUCUUGAGUGGAUCCUGAGUACGACGGAGCACGUGAAAUUCCGUCGGAAUCUGGGAGGACCAUCUCCUAAGGCUAAAUACUCUCUAGUGACCGAUAGUGAACCAGUACCGUGAGGGAAAGGUGAAAAGCACCCCGGAAGGGGAGUGAAAUAGAACCUGAAACCGUGUGCUUACAAGUAGUCAGAGCCCGUUAAUGGGUGAUGGCGUGCCUUUUGUAGAAUGAACCGGCGAGUUACGAUUUGAUGCAAGGUUAAGCAGUAAAUGUGGAGCCGUAGCGAAAGCGAGUCUGAAUAGGGCGUUUAGUAUUUGGUCGUAGACCCGAAACCAGGUGAUCUACCCUUGGUCAGGUUGAAGUUCAGGUAACACUGAAUGGAGGACCGAACCGACUUACGUUGAAAAGUGAGCGGAUGAACUGAGGGUAGCGGAGAAAUUCCAAUCGAACCUGGAGAUAGCUGGUUCUCUCCGAAAUAGCUUUAGGGCUAGCCUCAAGUGAUGAUUAUUGGAGGUAGAGCACUGUUUGGACGAGGGGCCCCUCUCGGGUUACCGAAUUCAGACAAACUCCGAAUGCCAAUUAAUUUAACUUGGGAGUCAGAACAUGGGUGAUAAGGUCCGUGUUCGAAAGGGAAACAGCCCAGACCACCAGCUAAGGUCCCAAAAUAUAUGUUAAGUGGAAAAGGAUGUGGCGUUGCCCAGACAACUAGGAUGUUGGCUUAGAAGCAGCCAUCAUUUAAAGAGUGCGUAAUAGCUCACUAGUCGAGUGACACUGCGCCGAAAAUGUACCGGGGCUAAACAUAUUACCGAAGCUGUGGAUUGUCCUUUGGACAAUGGUAGGAGAGCGUUCUAAGGGCGUUGAAGCAUGAUCGUAAGGACAUGUGGAGCGCUUAGAAGUGAGAAUGCCGGUGUGAGUAGCGAAAGACGGGUGAGAAUCCCGUCCACCGAUUGACUAAGGUUUCCAGAGGAAGGCUCGUCCGCUCUGGGUUAGUCGGGUCCUAAGCUGAGGCCGACAGGCGUAGGCGAUGGAUAACAGGUUGAUAUUCCUGUACCACCUAUAAUCGUUUUAAUCGAUGGGGGGACGCAGUAGGAUAGGCGAAGCGUGCGAUUGGAUUGCACGUCUAAGCAGUAAGGCUGAGUAUUAGGCAAAUCCGGUACUCGUUAAGGCUGAGCUGUGAUGGGGAGAAGACAUUGUGUCUUCGAGUCGUUGAUUUCACACUGCCGAGAAAAGCCUCUAGAUAGAAAAUAGGUGCCCGUACCGCAAACCGACACAGGUAGUCAAGAUGAGAAUUCUAAGGUGAGCGAGCGAACUCUCGUUAAGGAACUCGGCAAAAUGACCCCGUAACUUCGGGAGAAGGGGUGCUCUUUAGGGUUAACGCCCAGAAGAGCCGCAGUGAAUAGGCCCAAGCGACUGUUUAUCAAAAACACAGGUCUCUGCUAAACCGUAAGGUGAUGUAUAGGGGCUGACGCCUGCCCGGUGCUGGAAGGUUAAGAGGAGUGGUUAGCUUCUGCGAAGCUACGAAUCGAAGCCCCAGUAAACGGCGGCCGUAACUAUAACGGUCCUAAGGUAGCGAAAUUCCUUGUCGGGUAAGUUCCGACCCGCACGAAAGG